GAUGAGCGCUGGCGGCGUGCCUAAUACAUGCAAGUCGAGCGGACGGACGCGAAGCUUGCUUCUCUGAUGUUUGCCGCGCGCGUGUGUGUCACACGUGUAUACCCUCCCUAUAUGUCUGGGAUAACUACGAGACACCGGCUCUUAUCCCAUAUGAUCUCUUGCACCGCGUGGGUCAAAGGAGAGAUUCGGUCUUGCUGUAACGACUAGCUGCAUCUGCGCUGCAUUGGCUGGUUGGUAAGGUAAAGGCUUACCAAGGGAACGAUGCGUAGCCGAACUGAGAGGGUGAUAGGCCGCACUGGAACUGAGACACGGUCCAGACUCCUACGGGAGGCAGCAGUAGGGUAUGUGAGGCAAUGGGCGAAAGCCUGACGGAGCAACGCCGCGUGAGUGACGAAGAUCUUCGGAUCGUAAAACUCUGUUAUUAGGGAAGAACAUAUGUGUACGUAACUGUGCAGAUCGUGACGGUACCUAAUCAGAAAGCAACGGCUAACUACGUG
rnacentral:rRNA from 1 species